GACGAACGCUGGCGGCGUGCUUAACACAUGCAAGUCGAACGGUAAGGCCCUUCGGGGUACACGAAUGGCGAACGGGUGAGUAACACGUGGGUGAUCUGCCCUGCACUUCGGGAUAAGCCUGGGAAACUGAGUCUAAUACCGGAUAGGACCACUGCCUGCAUGGGGGGUGGUGGAAAGCUUUUGCGGUGUGGGAUGGGCCCGCGGCCUAUCAGCUUGUGGGUGGGGUGAUGGCCUACCAAGGCGACGACGGGUAGCCGGCCUGAGAGGGUGACCGGCCACACUGGGACUGAGAUACGGCCCAGACUCCUACGGGAGGCAGCAGUAGGGAAUAUUGCACAAUGGGCGCAAGCCUGAUGCAGCGACGCCGCGUGAGGGAUGACGGCCUUCGGGUUGUAAACCUCUUUCAGCACCGACGAAGCGCAAGUGACGGUAGGUGCAGAAGAAGGACCGGCCAACUACGUGCCAGCAGCCGCGGUAA
rnacentral:rRNA from 1 species